rnacentral:rRNA from 1 species
UACGUAGGGUGCAAGCGUUGUCCGGAAUCACUGGGUGUAAAGGGUCCGCAGGCGGGCAAGCAAGUCGGUGGUGAAAUCUCGUAGCUCAACUACGAAACUGCCUUCGAUACUGCUUGUCUUGAGUUCGAGAGAGGAUGAUGGAAUUCAUGGUGUAGCGGUGAAAUGCGUAGAGAUCAUGAAGAACACCGGUAGCGAAGGCGGUCAUCUGGCUCGAUACUGACGCUCAGGGACGAAAGCGUGGGGAGCAAAC